AUUUCUCGAGGUGUUGCAAAUUUUGGGGAUGGGCUUGCUGACUCCUACGCCUUAUCAUUGAUUCCGGUUUUCGAUAUCAAUAAAUUCUGUCCGCGGAGUUGAUUCAACCGUUCGAAUUAUUGUAGAAACCAGCCAUGGCCUCGCAUACGCUGGUGAAUGGCGUGGGUGCGGAAAGGAGACUCGGAAGUGAUACGGAUUCGGAAGUGGCACAGGUAUGUGUUUGUUUUAGAAUGUCUACAUUCCUAGAUUUUAACACUUUUGGAAUAUAAGUUU